AUUGAACGCUGGCGGCAUGCCUUACACAUGCCAGUCGAACGGCAGCACGGGUGCUUGCACCUGGUGGCGAGUGGCGAACGGGUGAGUAAUACAUCGGAACAUGUCCUGUAGUGGGGGAUAGCCCGGCGAAAGCCGGAUUAAUACCGCAUACGAUCUACGGAUGAAAGCGGGGGACCUUCGGGCCUCGCGCUAUAGGGUUGGCCGAUAGCUGAUUAGCUAGUUGGUGGGGUAAAGGCCUACCAAGGCGACGAUCAGUAGCUGGUCUGAGAGGACGACCAGCCACACUGGGACUGAGACACGGCCCAGACUCCUACGGGAGGCAGCAGUGGGGAAUUUUGGACAAUGGGCGAAAGCCUGAUCCAGCAAUGCCGCGUGUGUGAAGAAGGCCUUCGGGUUGUAAAGCACUUUUGUCCGGAAAGAAAUCCUUGGCUCUAAUACAGUCGGGGGAUGACGGUACCGGAAGAAUAAGCACCGGCUAACUACGUG
rnacentral:rRNA from 1 species